ensembl:lncRNA
CGCGGUGGCGCCACCUGGCGGUCAGAAGGAGAUGAGAGGAAAUGUAUUUAACGGUUAGGACUCAAACAUAGCCUACUGGAUACCAGGGAGAGAGGAGAGAAUGAUUAAUACUCAUACGGCAGGCGACCAACGCAGGAACCCAGAACGAGAAAAGACGACAGAGGGGAAGAUUUUCAUCAGUAGCCUAUUCGAAAAAGACGAAAAAGCCCGCCCCCUCGCGGCCGAUAAAGAAAGUUUUUUUUGACGACCCACCAAUCAGCGACGAGGACGAGGACGACGACGGAGAAGCCCAAAGCGUCGGAUCGAACCCCCGUCAAACCAACGCUUAUAUUACUUGCUUUCAUUGAAUUAAACAAACCAUUUAUUCUUGUGAUUUUUAUAUUAAAAUAAUGCCAUUUGUUAUUGUCAACUUAUUGCUUUCAAUGAUAUCUUUUUAUAAUCCAUUUGCUGUCAGUGUUAUGAGUUUAUUGAAAUAAAAAACCCAUUUAUUAUUAUUCUUGUGAGUAUUAUAUUAAAAGAAUGCCAUUUAUUGUCAACUUAUUGCUUUAUGUAUAUAUUUAUAAUCCAUUUGCUGUCAGUGUUAUGACUUUAUUGAAAUAAACCAUUAAUUAUUAUUCUUGUGGACUUUUUU